UACGGGGGGGGUAAGCGUUGUUCGGAAUUACUGGGCGUAAAGGGCUCGUAGGCGGCCAACUAAGUCAGACGUGAAAUCCCUCAGCUUAACUGGGGAACUGCGUCUGAUACUGGAUGGCUUGGAUUCGGGAGAGGAAUGCGGAAUUCCAGGUGUAGCGGUGAAAUGCGUAGAUAUCUGGAGGAACACCGGUGGCGAAGGCGGCAUUCUGGGCCGACAUUGACGCUGAGGAGCGAAAGCCAGGGGAGCAAACGGG
rnacentral:rRNA from 1 species